ACGAGGUAGAUAGGGCAGGAGUGGAAGUACAGUAAUGUAUGGAGCGGACUGCAACUAAUCGGUCGAGGGCAUGACCA
rnacentral:rRNA from 1 species